CGACACAGGACGCAGCUAGGCGGUUUCG
rnacentral:sRNA from 1 species